UACGUAGGUGGCAAGCGUUGUCCGGAUUUACUGGGCGUAAAGAGCGCGCAGGCGGUCGAGUAAGUCGAUUGUGAAAGCCCCCGGCUUAACUGGGGAGGGUCAUUCGAUACUGUUCGACUUGAAGGCAGGAGAGGGCAGCAGAAUUCCCGGUGUAGUGGUGAAAUGCGUAGAUAUCGGGAGGAAUACCAGUGGCGAAGGCGGCUGCCUGGCCUGUUCUUGACGCUGAGGCGCGAAAGCUGGGGGAGCAAACGGG
rnacentral:rRNA from 1 species